UCUAGAGCAGCUAUUGAAUUUCAUCGGUUUUAAGAGCUUAGGACCACGCUAUGUAUUAGCUAAUCUGAAGGAGCUUCUCAGGACUAUUUUGUCUGCAGAUUUCAUAGAUACAUGAUUACAUCUUGUCUAGGUUCUCUGUAAAUGGAUCAUGUGUGAUCGAGGUGCAUAUUUUUGCUUGCACGCCUCACCUUACUGCUCUUUCCCUUUUUUUCUUGCACGCCUCACCUUACUGCUUUUUCCCUUUUUUUCUUUGGCUUACAAUUGGUGAGCUUACACCUUGCAGAUUUAGUAUGGUCUACUAAUCAUGGAGCUUUAAGAGGAUUGUAUAGAUUUCUGACGGUUAAUUCUUUUGACCUUGAAAGGUUGGUAUACGGAAUUGUAACUUCAGCAAAAAAUGGAAAAAGUCUUUUAACCCAACGAUUCAGUUGUGCCAAUGUAGAUGCAUUGUUAUCUUAUAUUUACUCGAG
rnacentral:lncRNA from 1 species